ACGGAAGGCGCAGUGGGGAAUAUUGGACAAUGGAGGAAACUCUGAUCCAGCGACGCCGCGUGAGUGAAGAAGUAUUUCGGUAUGUAAAGCUCUAUCAGCAGGGAAGAUGAUGACGGUACCUGACUAAGAAGCCCCGGCUAACUACGUGCCAGCAGCCGCGGUAAUACGUAGGGGGCAAGCGUUAUCCGGAUUUACUGGGUGUAAAGGGAGCGUAGGCGGCCAGACAAGUCAGAUGUGAAAACCCGGGGCUCAACUCCGGGACUGCAUUUGAAACUGCCUGGCUGGAGUGCAGGAGAGGCAAGCGGAAUUCCUAGUGUAGCGGUGAAAUGCGUAGAUAUUAGGAAGAACACCAGUGGCGAAGGCGGCUUGCUGGACUGAGACUGACGCUGAGGCUCGAAAGCGUGGGGAGCAAACAGGAUUAGAUACCCUGGUA
rnacentral:rRNA from 1 species